rnacentral:rRNA from 1 species
CAGCCGCCACGGUAAAACGUAGGUGGCAAGCGUUGUCCGGAAUUAUUGGGCGUAAAGGGCUCGCAGGCGGUUUCUUAAGUCUGAUGUGAAAGCCCCCGGCUCAACCGGGGAGGGUCAUUGGAAACUGGGAAACUUGAGUGCAGAAGAGGAGAGUGGAAUUCCACGUGUAGCGGUGAAAUGCGUAGAGAUGUGGAGGAACACCAGUGGCGAAGGCGACUCUCUGGUCUGUAACUGACGCUGAGGAGCGAAAGCGUGGGGAGCGAACAGGAUUAGAUACCCGAGUAGUCCCUGUCUCUUAUAA